AUUGAACGCUGGCGGCAGGCCUAACACAUGCAAGUCGAACGAGUGGCGGACGGGAGAGUAAUGUCUGGGAAACUGCCUGAUGGUGGGGGAUAACUAUUGGAAACGGUAGCUAAUACCGCAUACCAUCGGAUGUGCCCAGAUGGGAUUAGCUUGUAGGUGGGGUAAAGGCCCACCUAGGCCACGCUCCCUAGCUGGUCUGAGAGGAUGACCAGCCACACUGGAGCUGCGACACGGUCCAGAGUCCUACGGGAGGCAGCAUUGGGGAAUAUUGCACAAUGGGCGAAAGCCUGAUGCAGCCAUGCCGAGUGUAUGAAGAAGGCCUUGGGGUUGUAAAGUACUUUCAGCGGGGAGGCGUUGCCGGCAGAAGAAGCACCGGCUAACUCCGUGCCAGCAGCCGCGGUAAUAC
rnacentral:rRNA from 1 species